rnacentral:sRNA from 1 species
AGUCAGGCAGCGGGAGCCGCCGGGAGCGGAUGGCGGCGGCCGUAGCGACUCCACUUGCCGCUGGGGGUGAGGAGGCGGCAGCCACGACCUCCGUGCCCGGGUCUCCAGGUCUGCCGGGGAGACGCAGUGCAGAGCGGGCCCUAGAGGAGGCCGUGGCCACCGGGACCCUGAACCUGUCUAACCGGCGCUUGAAGCACUUCCCCCGGGGCGCGGCCCGUAGCUACGACCUGUCAGACAUCACCCAGGCUGACCUGUCCCGGAACCGGUUUCCCGAGGUGCCCGAGGCGGCGUGCCAGCUGGUGUCCCUGGAGGGCCUGAGCCUCUACCACAAUUGCCUGAGAUGCCUGAACCCAGCCUUGGGGAAUCUCACAGCCCUCACCUACCUCAACCUCAGGUAGGGAGGCCGAGCCAGGGCCACGUGGGAGCGUGUGCUUCUCAGUCUCAAGUACUACUGAGUGACCCACCCAGUGACCCCGAGAGGAUGGCAGUGCUGGGAUGCCAUGCCUGGGGAGCCAGUCCGCUGCCUUUCUCCCUUCCACAGCCGAAACCAGCUGUCGCUGCUGCCACCCUA